UACGAAGGGGGCUAGCGUUGUUCGGAAUUACUGGGCGUAAAGCGUGCGCAGGCGGCUUCUCAAGUCAGGGGUGAAAGCCCAGAGCUCAACUCUGGAAUUGCCUUUGAGACUGAGUGGCUUGAGUACGGGAGAGGUGAGUGGAAUUCCCAGUGUAGAGGUGAAAUUCGUAGAUAUUGGGAAGAACACCGGUGGCGAAGGCGGCGACCUGGUCCGAUACUGACGCUGAGGCGCGAAAGCGUGGGGAGCAAACAGG
rnacentral:rRNA from 1 species